rnacentral:lncRNA from 1 species
AAGCCACAGGGUUGAUCAUGUUUUAGGUAUAAUGUUUCUCUUUGCUUGUGGAUAUGGGGUUUGUCUUGAACAUCACAUUGUUUCAAAUCUUAGUUUGUGCUGCAACCUGUGUACUUGGUACCUGUAUGAACAUUGUUAUUACUUUUCUUAUCAAUCGACUGAAGCUAUUCAGUUGUAGAUAAUUGGUAGUCUCACUUUAUGCACAAUUGUCAUUGAAGUAU